rnacentral:rRNA from 1 species
GACGAACGCUGGCGGCGUGCCUAAUACAUGCAAGUCGAACGCACAGUUUAUACCGUAGCUUGCUACACCAUAGACUGUGAGUUGCGAACGGGUGAGUAACGCGUAGGUAACCUGCCUGGUAGCGGGGGAUAACUAUUGGAAACGAUAGCUAAUACCGCAUAAUAUUAAUUAUUGCAUGAUAAUUAAUUGAAAGGUGCAAUUGCACCACUACCAGAUGGACCUGCGUUGUAUUAGCUAGUAGGUGAGGUAACGGCUCACCUAGGCGACGAUACAUAGCCGACCUGAGAGGGUGAUCGGCCACACUGGGACUGAGACACGGCCCAGACGCCUACAGGAGGCAGCAGUAGGGAAUCUUCGGCAAUGGACGAAAGUCUGACCGAGCAACGCCGCGUGAGUGAAGAAGGGUUUCGGAUCGUAAAGCUCGGUUGUAAGAGAAGAACGGGUGUGAGAGUGGAAAGUUCACACUGUGACGGUAUCUUACCAGAAAGGGGCGGCUAACUACGUG